AGUGUGAGGUAAUACAGUAGGGGGACUGAGAGUGAAGUGGGUUCAGUGAAUGGGGAGGUGCAGUGUGAGGUAAUACAGUAGGGGGAGGUGCAGUGUGAGGUAAUACAGUAGGGGGACUGAGAGUGAAGAAGGUUCAGUGAAUGGGGAGGUGCAGUGUGAGGUAAUACAGUAGGGGGAGGUGCAGUGUGAGAUAAUACAGUAGGGGGACUGAGAGUGAAGAAGGUUCAGUGAAUGGGGAGGUGCAGUGUGAGGUAAUACACUAGGGGGAGGUGCAGUGUGAGGUAAUACAGUAGGGGGAGGUGCAGUGUGAGGUAAUACAGUAGGGGGAGGUGCAGCGUGAAGUAAUACAGUAGGGGGAGGUGCAGUGUGACGUAUUACAGUUGGGGGACUGAGAGUGAAGAAGGUUCAGUGAAUGGGAAGGUGCAGUGUGAGGUAAUACAGUAGGGGGACUGAGAGUGAAGAAGGUUCAGUGAAUGGGAAGGUGCAGUGUGAGGUAAUACAGUAGGGGGAGGUGCAGUGUGAGGUAAUACAGUAGGGGGAGGUGCAGUGUGAGGUAUUACAGUAGG
rnacentral:lncRNA from 1 species